AAACUGCCUGAUGGAGGGGGAUAACUACUGGAAACGGUAGCUAAUACCGCAUAACGUCGCAAGACCAAAGAGGGGGACCUUCGGGCCUCUUGCCAUCAGAUGUGCCCAGAUGGGAUUAGCUAGUAGGUGGGGUAACGGCUCACCUAGGCGACGAUCCCUAGCUGGUCUGAGAGGAUGACCAGCCACACUGGAACUGAGACACGGUCCAGACUUCUACGGGAGGCAGCAGUGGGGAAUAUUGCACAAUGGGCGCAAGCCUGAUGCAGCCAUGCCGCGUGUAUGAAGAAGGCCUUCGGGGUUGUAAAGUACUUUCAGCGGGGAGGAAGGCGAUAAGGUUAAUAACCUUGUCGAUUGACGUUACCCGCAGAAGAAGCACCGGCUAACUCCGUGCCAGCAGCCGCGGUAAUACGGAGGGGUGCAAGCGUUAAUCGGGAAUUACUGGGCGUAAAGCGCACGCAGGCGGUCUGUCAAGUCGGAUGUGAAAUCCCCGGGGGCUCAACCUGGGAACUGCAUUCGAAACUGGGCAGGCUAGAGUCUUUGUAGAGGGGGGGUAGAAUUCCAGGGUGUAGCGGUUGAAAUGCGUAGAGAUCUGGGAGGGAAUACCCGGGUGGGCGAAGGCGGC
rnacentral:rRNA from 1 species